rnacentral:misc_RNA from 1 species
AACUAUUGGUGUGAUACGCUGUGAAGUUAGCCGUGGCGGACAACGGCGCAUAAGGCGGAUCGCAAUAGACCACCGACGACUUGUCCGCACGCGCCAUACUGUCUGCGUAUGACUCACAGUAAAAGAACGCAUUCUGCGCUUUUUCUGCAAAGUGGUACAACUCCGCUUCCGGGAAGUAAGGUCUUUUAUAACGACCAAACGGUACAUUAAAUUCCCCACGUAAGUUAUAGCGACAGAGUCCGUUAUAACCGUAGCGAUUCAGAUAUAAAAACAGUACCGCCCGACGAAAGGGGUCCUGGCAGGUGUUGAACUCCUCACGGAGUUGGUAAUAGAC